GAUAUUUUUCGCUUAGCGUUCAUACAAGGGAAGUAAGCAGUGAGGCACCAGCCUUGAGACAUGAUUGAGGCAAUUUUCAUUGAUGGUGAUAAUAGAAGUAGAUGGGGCCAAUGUGAGGGUCAGAUCCAUUUGGACACAGAUAAAUCAAGACACAGGUUCUUUUCCUUGUGAGUUCACUGAUCAAUGCAAUGAAAAGAGGCAGGCCCCAUCUUGACUCAGCUUGAUGGAACUCAUUGGGCGCUCCUCUUCUUUUCCAGCAAGCAACAGUGCUGAUAAGAAUAUUCUCACGUCUUUUCUUUUGCUUCCAUGGUUCUUUUUCAUUGCUCAACUCCCUGUUAUUAUUAAUUCUCUUUUUUUUUUAAGCUUCCAUUGCAUCCGGCCAUCAAGAUUUAUUAUCUUUGUUGUUUCUCGCAAUAUAAUGGUUAAUUAUGUUCGAGAAUUAGUAUAAAAUUCAGCAAUUCUUUAAUUAAACCGAGCCUAUGAAAUCUUGCAAUGGUUGAGAUUUCAUUUUGUGUAAAUGGACUAGGGAGUGUUCAAUUCCUGGCUUGCAGGAAAGAAAAGUCUCUGAGUUUUGUAUUUUACUGUUUAAUUUGUAUCCUAUCGUGUCCUCACAAGUCUCUCAGGAACUCUGAUUCUUGGAUGGAUCAGAUGCAUUGAAUGAUACUGUCACAAUUACCAUAAUUAUAUAUUGAAUUUAGUGCUCAACAAAUUCCUGCCAUGAGAUAACCUAUUUUCACCUUCCUUCAAUGGGCACGCACUAAAAUUCCCUUGCUACAUGUGUACACACAUACGCACGAUGGUAAAUGGGAUCAGACUGGGAGCCUGUAUUUGUAAAUGCUCUGAAUUCGCAAUAAGAUUAUUCUGUAUAAAUGGUCCCCUCUAACGUAGAAGAAAGAUUCAGAGAUGGAAGAUGGUCCCCUCAUUUCAUUUCCUUUCUUUCCCAUGGCAAUCUAUUUUGUUGCUGUUUCAUCAAAAGGAACAGCGUGGUCUCAAAGCUUGGUGUGUCUCACUGUUGCCCAGCUUCUGUUUGACGAGUUCGUACAGAGAUGGAGAAUUUGGGAAUCAACUUUGCUGAGUUACACGUGUCAAGUACCCAUUUAACCAAGUAUACGGCGGCCACUCCAUUCUUACCUCAAGCUGGACAUGCACCAAAUGGAUCCCACAACAUUGGAUACCCGAUGCCACAGGAUGUCUCUGCAAAGCCCUAACCUCUCCGUUUUGGAUAUAUAAUGGUAAACCGGUCUCCAUUUAACACAGUUUAUGCAACCUUUCUGUUUAAGAAACCAAAGCAACAAGAAGAAGAUACGCGCGAGGCCUUAGGAUGGAUUGAAACACUGCCCCCACGAUAUAAACCUUAAAAAUCUGAUCCUUCAGAGAAUUGAAGUUAAAGACAAGCUACGAUUAGUACAUGAAGGUUGUGUGUUUUGUUUUUUGGUGCUAAAAUAGAGGUUGUAAUGGCAACAUCUCAUGAGAUUUGUCAUAUGUGUAAUUUAAACAUAACCCAGUUGUACAUGCAUCUUGUUAAAAAAAGAAUUCAAUAAUGCAUCAAAUGUA